rnacentral:rRNA from 1 species
AACGAACGCUGGCGGCAGGCUUAACACAUGCAAGUCGAGCGCCCCGCAAGGGGAGCGGCGCACGGGUGCAAAACGCGUGGGGAUCUGCCUUUCUGUUCGGAACAACAUCGGGAAACUGAUGCUAAUACCGGAUACACCAACAGGCCGUGGAUGCUUGUUGGGAAAGAUUUAUCGCAGAAAGAUGGAACCCGCGUAUGAUUAGCUAGUUGGUGAGGUAACGGCUCACCAAGGCGACGAUCAUUAGCUGGUCUGAGAGGACGAUCAGCCACACUGGAACUGAGACACGGUCCAGACUCCUACGGGAGGCAGCAGUGGGGAAUAUUGGACAAUGGGGGAAACCCUGAUCCAGCCAUGCCGCGUGAGUGAUGAAGGCCUUCGGGUUGUAAAGCUCUUUUGGGUGGGACGAUAAUGACGGUACCACCAGAAUAAGAUCCGGCAAACUUCGUGCCAGCAGCAGCCGCAG